AUUGAACGCUGGCGGCAGGCCUAACACAUGCAAGUCGAGCGGAGCGGCGGACGGGUGAGUAAUGCCUAGGAAUCGGCCUGGUAGUGGGGGAUAACGUCCGGUAACGGGAGCUAAUACCAAAUCCUAUCAGAUGCGCCUAGGUCGGAUUAGCUAGUUGGGGGGGUAAAGGCCUACCAAGGCGACGAUCCGUAACUGGUCUGAGAGGAUGAUCAGUCACACUGGAACUGAGACACGGUCCAGACUCCUACGGGAGGCAGCAGUGGGGAAUAUUGCACAAUGGGCGCAAGCCUGAUGCAGCCAUGCCGCGUGUGUGAAGAAGGCCUUCGGGUUGUAAAGCACUUUCAGCGGGGAGGCGUUACCCGCAGAAGAAGCACCGGCUAACUCCGUGCCAGCAGCCGCGGUAAUAC
rnacentral:rRNA from 1 species